AGCAAUGGGGCCUGAGAUGGAAAGUUCACUAUGGGUUUGGGGCUAUCACGGGCUACACAGUGAGAGCCAUCUCAAAACAAAGAACAGAACAAAGCAGGAAGUGGUUGGCAGCUUGUUUCUAGUGAAGCAACGACAAUGCACAUUGAACUUUGGAAACUGGAACUAUGAAGACAUAUGAGCUGUCCUUGAGACACAGAUUUCCCUACAGGCCAGGAAGGUGAUUCCAAAGGUUAAAUGCUUGCUGGGAAGGUCUGUAGGGAUAAGCCCUCCCCUUGGGGGCGGGCUGCCCUCAGGCGUAUGUUUACUGAUAUAUUCUGCUGCGCGCCCCUUCCGCGCUCUCUCCUGUUUCCGCUGGAUACUCCGCUGGAACCUUGGUUUUGCAAACGCCUAUGCGCUAUGUGCACACAGUGCCCAAGGAGGGCAGACAGGAACAUCGGAACUCCUGAAACUGCAGUUGCUGAUGGUUCUGAGUUCACACACUUACCGCGAGCUUCCCACACAGAGACACGCCAGCUUUUGCAGCACCCUAUGUGUCCUCUAAGGGGACAGAAGACCUUUCGCCUUGUCUCUGGGUUUGGCAAAGCCAACUGCACGGAAGCAAAAAAGGCCUUUUACCCCUUCAGCUUUCUGAAGGCUUCACUCGGGGAAUCAAUCUGCUCACCCUGCCAAGACAGGUCACUCCUGCUGCCUAAGCCAAGACCAACCUAUAAAGCGCUCCCAGGACAACACCAAAUGCACCUGCACCAGCUCCUGGGACUUCACCAUUGGUAGCAGCUCUCAAGGACACCUGCCAAACACCUGCCUUCGCAUCUCCCUCAAAAAGCAGCUGCCUGAGGUCUCCAGGAUGACAGGAAACCGGAUGUCGCCCCAACCACACCUUUUGCUGAGCGUGAGCAGGCCAACUCUCAGCUCUCCCAUCUCCCACGUUGUCCCAUGCCCACAGGAAGUAGUCAGACUUGAGUCUACAUCCCUUUUUCCAGAGAGAGCCUAAAAUGUUGGUUAUAAUUAUCACCUCAACUUCCUGUCACCCCUAUAUCCAAAGAGUCUGGAAUGUUAAGUUGGGAGCAUCACCCCAGCUCCUGGCAUCCAUCCCAGCCCCCUGGCUUGGGAAUUGCAUUGGUCUGGACUCCAAAUCCUGACUCUCCAGAACACCCCACAGGGUAUUUAAGAGGGCACCCAGAGGAGGAACACUUUGCAUGUGCUCCGCGGUUUUCUGUCUCCCGUCCCAUGCUCUCGGCCACUCAAAAGUGCUACACUUAAUAAAAACA